rnacentral:rRNA from 1 species
GGGGAUGACGUCAAGUCCUCAUGGCCCUUAUGUCCAGGGCUACACACGUGCUACAAUGGGCAGUACAAAGGGUAGCAAGCCUGCGAAGGUGAGCCAAUCCCAAAAAGCUGUUCGUAGUUCGGAUUGGAGUCUGCAACUCGACUCCAUGAAGCUGGAAUCGCUAGUAAUCGCGGAUCAGCAUGCCGCGGUGAAUACGUUCCCGGGCCUU